ensembl:rRNA 5S_rRNA 5S ribosomal RNA
UAUGGCCAUACCACCCUGAACACUCUCAAUCUCAUCUGAUCUCAGAAGCUAAGCAGGAUUGGGCCUGGUUUAGUACAUGAAUGGGAGUAAAAUUAGUAAGAGAAAACCAUGUCUGCCAAGA